ACCUCAUCUGCUUUGUGCAUUCCUGGAUCCCAAAGGCCGGCAUGGCCUGGCACCUAAGAGCUCCUCUUAGGACUACUCAUUCAUUCGACAGACAUUGAUGAGGCCACCGAUGUCACAGAGGAUUUGAAACCAACGCCCUAGAAGGAAAGGAACUGGAAGAAGGUGGCACAGCUGAAUUGUCACUUUGCUUUUUGGAAUAUGAAGUGUUGCACCAAGGCCAAAAACGUUCCCUUCUCAGUAAAGACAGAAGAAAGGCAGCA